AGAGUUUGAUCCUGGCUCAGGACGAACGCUGGCGGCGUGCUUAACACAUGCAAGUCGAACGAGAGCGUAGAGAAAGCUUGCUUUUUCUACAAUCUAGUGGCAAACGGGUGAGUAACGCGUAAACAACCUGCCCUACGGAUGGGGACAACAGCUGGAAACGGCUGCUAAUACCGAAUACGUUCCGAAAGUCGCAUGACUGUCGGAAGAAAGGAUGGCCUCUAUUUAUAAGCUAUCGCCGGAGGAGGGGUUUGCGUCUGAUUAGCUAGUUGGAGGGGUAACGGCCCACCAAGGCGACGAUCAGUAGCCGGUCUGAGAGGAUGAACGGCCACAUUGGAACUGAGACACGGUCCAGACUCCUACGGGAGGCAGCAGUGGGGAAUCUUCCGCAAUGGGCGAAAGCCUGACGGAGCAACGCCGCGUGAGUGAAGACGGCCUUCGGGUUGUAAAGCUCUGUUAUACGGGACGAAUAAUCUUGUGGUUAAUACCCAUAAGAAGUGACGGUACCGUAAGAGAAAGCCACGGCUAACUACGUGCCAGCAGCCGCGGUAAUACGUAGGUGGCAAGCGUUGUCCGGAAUUAUUGGGCGUAAAGGGCGCGCAGGCGGCUUCUUAAGUCUGUCUUAAAAGUGCGGGGCUUAACCCCGUGAUGGGAUGGAAACUGGGAAGCUCAGAGUAUCGGAGAGGAAAGCGGAAUUCCUAGUGUAGCGGUGAAAUGCGUAGAUAUUAGGAGGAACACCAGUGGCGAAAGCGGCUUUCUGGACGAAAACUGACGCUGAGGCGCGAAAGCCAGGGGAGCGAACGGGAUUAGAUACCCCGGUAGUCCUGGCCGUAAACGAUGGGUACUAGGUGUAGGAGGUAUCGACCCCUUCUGUGCCGGAGUUAACGCAAUAAGUACCCCGCCUGGGGAGUACG
rnacentral:rRNA from 1 species